rnacentral:rRNA from 1 species
AGUGAACGCUGGCGGUAGGCCUAACACAUGCAAGUCGAACGGCAGCACAGUAAGAGCUUGCUCUUACGGGUGGCGAGUGGCGGACGGGUGAGGAAUACAUCGGAAUCUACUUUUUCGUGGGGGAUAACGUAGGGAAACUUACGCUAAUACCGCAUACGACCUACGGGUGAAAGCAGGGGAUCUUCGGACCUUGCGCGAUUGAAUGCGCCGAUGUCGGAUUAGCUAGUUGGCGGGGUAAAGGCCCACCAAGGCGACGAUCCGUAGCUGGUCUGAGAGGAUGAUCAGCCACACUGGAACUGAGACACGUUCCAGACUCCUACGGGAGGCAGCAGUGGGGAAUAUUGGACAAUGGGCGCAAGCCUGAGCCAGCCAUACCGCGGGGGUGAAGAAGGCCUGCGGGUUGUAAAGCCCUUUUGUUGGGAAAGAAAAGCAGCAGGUUAAGACCCCGCUGUUCGGACGGGACCCAAAGAAGAAGCACCGGCUAACUGCGU